UUUUUUUGAUGUUGUUUUUUUUUGUUGUUGUUGUUUUUGUUUUGUAUAAAGGGUGAAAUGGGUGUAUAAAGGGUGAAAGAGUGAAGAGAGAGAAAGAAGGUAUAAUGUCUUGAGGCUUGCAUAAUGAUUUUAGUAAGCUGUCUUCACUCUUUCAGGAUGUAUGUUUUGAUGUAAUCAUGGAAACAAACAGAAGUACAUUCACAGUCUGGCUCCAUUUUGCAAAGAAUAGCUUAACCUGAUCUCAGCUGUCCAAAGCAAAGACAAAACAAAACACAGCAACAACACAGAAAGCAACCAUCUAAACACACAGAAAAGAAAUUCAGAGCUACAGGGGAUUAAAUUGUCAGAAAUUUACCAGACAGACGCACAGAAAUCUGCUUUCCCAGCACUGCAAUUCAAGGCCUUUCGGCACUGGAAGCAAAACUUAAAAUAUGCCACCAUGCUUGGACUGAGAAGCUCCUGUUUUGGGAAUGGGGCAGAAGGAUAAGUGUUGGAAAUGAGACUGGAGACUGGAAAUUAAUGCAAAUAUUGCUGCUAUUCUUUGAUUAUCGUAAGUAUUCCAGCCUAUCUCUUGUCA
rnacentral:lncRNA from 1 species